GCGUGUUUUCGUAUGGAGGGGGUAAUUUCCAUUUUGGUCUUUCCACUUUUUUGCUCCUAUUUAUUUCCAUCCUAUUCUUUUUUUUAUUUUUUUAAUUUUUACCCCAUAAUUUUAAUUUCCUUGCAAAUCAAUCCUUUGACCCAUUGUUGAACUAAGAAGAUGACAUGGGGCUGGGAUAAUUUCCCUUUAGGUCCCUAAACUUUUUUAUUCCAUUUUAAUUUAAUC
rnacentral:lncRNA from 1 species